rnacentral:rRNA from 1 species
AAUAYGACUCUCGGCAACGGAUAUCUCGGCUCUCGCAUCGAUGAAGAACGUAGCGAAAUGCGAUACGUGGUGUGAAUUGCAGAAUCCCGUGAACCAUCGAGUCUUUGAACGCAAGUUGCGCCCAAGGGACCCUCCCGAGGGCACGCCUGCCUCACGGGCGUUAGAA